CACACCAUGGGAGUCAGUUGCUCCAGAAAUGGCUUGUCUAACCGUUGUAUUUAUACGACGGAGGACGGCCCUUAAGGAGUGCCUGAUGACUGGGGUG
rnacentral:rRNA from 1 species